AGUUAACAGCAACAGUUUCUUCUCAGUUAUCUAGGAUCAGAAUCUCGUUACUAUUAUUCAAUCACUGCCUAUAUUUAAAUCCAGAGCCAGUCAAUUUUAUGUUCAGGGAAUCCAUUUCAGGUGCUCUAUGCCCUUCUUGAUUACAUCAUUUUUACAGCCUCUACACUUAACAGCUUGCCUUUUUUUCCUGAUUAUCGGAUAAAUCUUCCUAAGGCAUACAUACUUGGCUCAAAAAGCUUUUAUCCUCAUUCUGCUUCCUGUUUUUCAAUUUCUGUAUACUAAAAUUUAUUGAUUAUUAGAAUGCCACUUUUUCCACGAGACCCACAGUGAUUCUGACGUUACCCUGGCUGGAAAUUACUUACUUCCUCUUAUUAUCACAGCACUCUUUUCUGCAGCAUCACAAUCUCAUAAACCACUUUUACUGUGUCUUUCCUAAAUAAUUAUGAGCUGCUAAAACUGGGAUUCAGUAUUGUCUUCCUUUUUACAGUAUUCUGUUU
rnacentral:lncRNA from 1 species